UGCGUAGGCGGGCUAAUAAGUCAGUGGUGAAAUCUUCCGGCUCAACCGGGAACCUGCCAUUGAUACUGUUAGUCUUGAGUUCGGUUGAGGUAGGCGGAAUGUGUAAUGUAGCGGUGAAAUGCUUAGAUAUUACACAGAACACCAAUUGCGUAGGCAGCUUACUAGACCGACACUGACGCUGAGGAACGAAAGCGUGGGGAGCGAACAGGAUUAGAUACCCUGGUAGUCC
rnacentral:rRNA from 1 species